UACAGAGGUCCCAAGCGUUGUUCGGAUUCACUGGGCGUAAAGGGUGCGUAGGUGGCGAGGUAAGUUUGAUGUGAAAUCUCCGAGCUCAACUCGGAAACUGCAUUGAAUACUAUCUUGCUCGAGGGUUGGAGGGGAGACUGGAAUUCUCGGUGUAGCAGUGAAAUGCGUAGAUAUCGAGAGGAACACCAGUGGCGAAGGCGGAGUCUCGUAGAACAACUCCGUGACACUGAGGCACGAAAGCUAGGGGAGCAAACAGG
rnacentral:rRNA from 1 species